rnacentral:rRNA from 1 species
GAUGAACGCUGGCGGCGUGCCUAAUACAUGCAAGUCGAGCGAACAGACGAGGAGCUUGCUCCUCUGACGUUAGCGGCGGACGGGUGAGUAACACGUGGAUAACCUACCUAUAAGACUGGGAUAACUUCGGGAAACCGGAGCUAAUACCGGAUAAUAUAUUGAACCGCAUGGUUCAAUAGUGAAAGACGGUUUUGCUGUCACUUAUAGAUUGAUCCGCGCCGCAUUAGCUAGUUGGUAAGGUAACGGCUUACCAAGGCAACGAUGCGUAGCCGACCUGAGAGGGUGAUCGGCCACACUGGAACUGAGACACGGUCCAGACUCCUACGGGAGGCAGCAGUAGGGAAUCUUCCGCAAUGGGCGAAAGCCUGACGGAGCAACGCCGCGUGAAUGAUGAAGGUCUUCGGAUCGUAAAACUCUGUUAUUAGGGAAGAACAAAUGUGUAAGUAACUAUGCACGUCUUGACGGUACCUAAUCAGAAAGCCACGGCUAACUACGUG